rnacentral:rRNA from 1 species
ACCCUUAGAUGUUCUGGGCCGCACGCGCGCUACACUGAUGCGUUCAACAAGUUUCCUUGGCCGAGAGGCCUGGGCAGUCUUCUUAAUAUGUAUCGUGAUAGGGAUAGAUUAUUGCAAUUAUUAAUCUUGAACGAGGAAUUCCUAGUAAACGCAGAUCAUCAAUCUGCAUUGAUUACGUCCCUGCCCUUUGUACACACCGCCCGUCGCACCUACCGAUUGGAUGUUCCGGUGAAGCCUCGGGAUGAGGACUGGUGCCUUUAUUGGCAUGAGUUGUUCAGAACUUGUCUAAACCUUAUCAUCUAGAGGAAGGUGAAGUCGUAACA